rnacentral:piRNA from 1 species
UAAUCUCUUGUUUUCCAUUUC